rnacentral:rRNA from 1 species
GAGUUUGAUCCUGGCUCAGAUUGAACGCUGGCGGUAUGCUUAACACAUGCAAGUCGAACGGUAACAGGCCUUCGGGCGCUGACGAGUGGCGGACGGGUGAGUAACGCGUAGGAAUCUGCCUUAUAGUGGGGGACAACGUGGGGAAACCCACGCUAAUACCGCAUACGCCCUACGGGGGAAAGGAGGGGAUCUUCGGACCUUUCGCUAUGAGAUGAGCCUGCGUUAGAUUAGCUAGUUGGUAGGGUAAAGGCCUACCAAGGCGACGAUCUAUAGCUGGUCUGAGAGGACGAUCAGCCACACUGGGACUGAGACACGGCCCAGACUCCUACGGGAGGCAGCAGUGGGGAAUAUUGGACAAUGGGCGCAAGCCUGAUCCAGCAAUACCGCGUGUGUGAAGAAGGCCUUAGGGUUGUAAAGCACUUUCAAUUGGGAGGAAAACCUGCCGGUCAAUACCCGGUAGCUUGACAUUACCUUUAGAAGAAGCACCGGCUAACUCCGUGCCAGCAGCCGCGGUAAUACGGAGGGUGCGAGCGUUAAUCGGAAUUACUGGGCGUAAAGCGUGCGUAGGUGGUUCGUUAAGUCAGAUGUGAAAGCCCUGGGCUCAACCUGGGAACGGCAUUUGAAACUGGCGGACUAGAGUUUAGUAGAGGGGAGUGGAAUUUCAGGUGUAGCGGUGAAAUGCGUAGAUAUCUGAAGGAACACCAGUGGCGAAGGCGACUCCCUGGACUAAAACUGACGCUGAGGUACGAAAGCGUGGGUAGCAAACAGGAUUAGAUACCCUGGUAGUCCACGCCGUAAACGAUGUCGACUAGCCGUUGGUCCUAUAUACAGGAUUAGUGGCGCAGCUAACGCAUUAAGUCGACCGCCUGGGGAGUACGGCC